AGCGAACGCUGGCGGCAGGCCUAACACAGGCAAGUCGAACGAACUCUUCGGAGUUAGUGGCGGACGGGUGAGUAACACGUGGGAACGUGCCUUUAGGUUCGGAAUAACUCAGGGAAACUUGUGCUAAUACCGAAUGUGCCCUUCGGGGGAAAGAUUUAUCGCCUGUAGAGCGGCCCGCGUCUGAUUAGCUAGUUGGUGAGGUAAAGGCUCACCAAGGCGACGAUCAGUAGAUGGUCUGAGAGGAUGAUCAGCCACAUUGGGACUGAGACACGGCCCAAACUCCUACGGGAGGCAGCAGUGGGGAAUCUUGCGCAAUGGGCGAAAGCCUGACGCAGCCAUGCCGCGUGAAUGAUGAAGGUCUUAGGAUCGUAAAAUUCUUUCAACGGGGACGAUAAUGACGGUACCCGGAGAAGAAGCCCCGGCUAACUUCGUG
rnacentral:rRNA from 1 species